rnacentral:rRNA from 1 species
UACGUAGGGGGCAAGCGUUGUCCGGAUUUAUUGGGCGUAAAGAGCGUGUAGGCGGCCAGGUAGGUCGGUUGUGAAAACUGGAGGCUUAACCUUCAGACGUCGACCGAAACCCCCUGGCUAGAGUCCGGAAGAGGAGAGUGGAAUUCCUGGUGUAGCGGUGAAAUGCGCAGAUAUCAGGAAGAACACCCGUGGCGAAGGCGGCUCUCUGGGACGGUACUGACGCUGAGACGCGAAAGCGUGGGGAGCGAACAGGAUUAGAUACCCUGGUAGUCCACGCCGUAAACGAUGGGUGCUAGGUGUGGGGGGUGUCGACUCCCUCCGUGCCGAAGCUAACGCAUUAAGCACCCCGCCUGGGGAGUACGGCCGCAAGGCUAAAACUCAAAGGAAUUGACGGGGGCCCGCACAAGCAGCGGAGCAUGUGGUUUAAUUGGAUUCAACGCCGGA